rnacentral:lncRNA from 1 species
AUAUGAUUAAUUUAUGUUACUCUCUUUCGAGAGGACUCACAAUAUUUAUAUUCCAGAAAACGCCUUGCAUUUAAACUUGAUGAGUCAUUUCCGCGAUUAAUAAAUAUGUAAGGCGACGUCAUCAUUGGUUUGAGAUUAAUUUAUUAGGACUCAUGAACUCAUGAAAAAUGGCAACAAGCUCUUCAUACCGGCGUAGCUGGAACCAAUAGCUAUCUUGAACUGUUGGUUAAUUUGUACGCAAGUUAAUGUGCAGAGGCUCCUCCAACUGGAGAAUACACAGACUUUGAUGGUAAAUAUAAGUAUCUUGGUUGGAACAUGAUGUGUAGGGAUUUUUGUCUGGAGAAAAAAAAAAAAUUAGUUCUAAGAACGAUCCUGCACUACUACAGACGCUUCGUUCACAUUAAAAGAAGAGGUGAUGUAUUAACAAGAAGAAACCACUUUACAUAAUAUGUGUAAAUUAUCAAAAACUCGAAUUCAACCGAAUUCGAAAAUUUUGGCCUCGAAUGUAAUACUAGUUAGAAACAUUCCUAGUUGCAUCUGUUCUCUGCCUUGAACCUCUCUUAACUAUAUAAUGAUGGGAAAUAUUUGUAUUAUCUGCUGGUAUUGAUUAAGCUGAUUAUUUUACUAUAAGGCCUAAGGAAUACCUUGUCUAUUGCUUCUAUAUUUCUGGAAUAUUUUUCUUUUUCUAUAUAGUGUACUAUUUUAAAGUGAAUAAUAAAAUAAGGAAACACCUUAUUCAAAUUUUAAUGUUACAACUAUAUAGUUGUAAACACCGAUCUAGGUCGUUGGUUACAACCAAAGCCCUAUAAGAAGAUUUACGACACCAAGAAAACUGUCUGAAGUCAGCUGAUAAUCAUCAGAAAUAAAUUUGUGGCCUUAUUCAAAUCUUAUUAACUUUGGAGACAAAGUAAUUUUUCCAAUAAAUCGACCUGAAAUCCCAAAAUUAGGAUAGAAAUGUCUUCGUAUAGCGCUGUUAAAUACUCCAGCAAAUCUGGAGUAUAUCAAAGCAAUGGAUACUACGAAUUCCACAAUGAAGAAAAGAUUGAGGAUCUUGAAUUCAUUUUUGUUAACACUCUCGACUUAGUUGAAAUAAAUUCCUUCGCUUA